AGUGGAAUUGAUGGAUUAUUUUGUAACUGUUUAACUUUUCAAGGAACUGCCAAAUUGUUUUCUAAAAUGGCAGCACCAUUUCAAUUUUACCAGCACU
rnacentral:pre_miRNA from 1 species